CCUACGGGAGGCUGCAGUGGGGAAUAUUGCACAAUGGAGGAAACCCUGAUCCAGCAAAGCCGCGUGAGUGAAGAAGUAUUUCGGUAUGUAAAGCUCUAUCUGUAGGGAAGAAAAAAGACGGUAGCUUGCUAAUAAGCACCUGCUAACUACGUACCAGCAGCCGCGGUAAUACGUAGGAGGCAAGCGUUAUCCGGAUUUCCUGGGUGUAAAGGGAGCGUAGACGGGUGUGGAAGUCUGAAGUGAAAGCGCGUGGCUCAACCGCGGAAGUGCUUUGGAACCUGUAUAGUUUGAGUACUGGUGAGUCAGGCGGAAUUCGUAGUGUAGCGGUGAAAUGCGUAGAUAUUAGGAGGAACACCAGUGGCGAAGGCGGCUU
rnacentral:rRNA from 1 species